rnacentral:miRNA from 1 species
GAACACUUUAUAAGUGAGAGGAC